rnacentral:lncRNA from 1 species
UGUGAGAGGGGACAUUCUGAGGCCUCAUCAGUUUCAUGUCUCAGCCCCCAACCACCUGUCUCCUGGGCUUUGGUAGAGCUUGGAACUAAGUGCCCGCAGCCCGGCGGCACAUGCAACCUUGCACUUAGUGCGAGAGACAUCAGGCGGCUGCUGAACACUGCUCGAUUCAUUGAAGGCAGGCGGCCAAGCAGGCCCUUCUGAGCAGGUUCUGGUGCCAUCGCCGCUCGGCCCCAUGCAUAGCCAUGAUUCAGAAGACCGAGGACACCCUUGCUGGCAGCUGAUCUUUGAAGAAGUACCAGCUCAGAGAGAGACUCUUGGCCCAUGUCAGGACUCAACAAAUGUGGCUGAAUGAACGAAUGAAUGAUUGUGAUGGGAUAAAGCCAGCUUUUCCUUUUUUUAUUUUAUUUUAUUAUUAUUAUACUUUAAGUUUUAGGGUACAUGUGCACAAUGUGCAGGUUUGUUACAUAUGUAUACAUGGGCCAUGUUGGUGUACUGCAACCAUUAACUCGUCAUUUAGCAUUAGGUAUAUCUCCUAAUGCUAUCCCUCCCCCCUCCCCCCACCCCACAACAGUCCUCGGAGUGUGAUGUUCCCCUUCCUGUGUCCAUGUGUUCUCAUUGUUCAAUUCCCACCUAUGAGUGAGAACAUGCGGUGUUUGGUUUUUUGUCCUUGCCAUAGUUUGCUGAGAAUGAUGAUUUCCAGUUUCAUCCAUGUCCCUGCAAAGGACAUGAACUCAUCAUUUUUUAUGGCUGCAUAGUAUUCCAUGGGGUAUAUGUGCCACAUUUUCUUACUCCAGUCUAUCGUUGUUGGACAUUUGGGUUGGUUCCAAGUCUUUGCUAUCGUGAAUAGUGCUGCAAUAAACAUACGUGUGCGUGU